rnacentral:rRNA from 1 species
ACGGAGGGUGCGAGCGUUGUUCGGAAUCAUUGGGCGUAAAGGGCGUGUAGGUGGUCUGUUAAGUCAUGUGUGAAAGCCCCCAGCUCAACUGGGGAAGUGCGCAUGAAACUGACAGGCUAGAGUACCGAAGAGGAAGGUGGAAUUCCCGGUGUAGCGGUGAAAUGCGUAGAUAUCUGCAGGAACACCCGUGGCGAAAGCGGCGCGCUGGACCACAACUGACGCUGAAUGACGAAAGCUAGGGGAGCAAACAGGA